rnacentral:lncRNA from 1 species
CACGAUUCAAGUUCCACUCUCACACCAGAGCACUACACUACGAAACUCGCCGAUUCUCACUAGAAUCGCCUAGUUUCACUUGCAGGUAUUUUGACGUAGAGCGUGCGUCGUGGACUCCAAAGCCUCCGGCAUCAACCUCGCACCACCGCGAGCCCUGGUAGCAGAUUCAGGGCUUCAUCAGCUGGCGCCGUCUGUGGGACCUACCGAACCACCGGUAUCCCGUCGUAAUCGCGAUUUUUUAAAAAUCCGGCUCGAGCUCUCCCAAGAGUUCGCCGAGUUUGUCAAAAAAUCGCCGACAUAGAUCGUCCGAUUCUCGGUUAACGUCCGAUUUAGCUUUAAAUCGCCGACUUACCCUUGAGAAUCGCCCGAUCCGGAAUAUCGUCUGCUAGCUAAGAGUGCUGUCCACGACCUUGUUCGGGAAUACACCUAACUCGCCGAGUUAACAAUUAACUCGCCGACUUAGCACUUGUCUUUCCAACAGGCUCAGUCAGG